rnacentral:rRNA from 1 species
UACGUAGGGGGCAAGCGUUGUCCGGAUUUAUUGGGCGUAAAGAGCUCGUAGGCGGUUUGGUAAGUCUGGUGUGAAAUCUCCCACGCUCAACGUGGAGGGGCCACCCGAUACUGCCAUGACUGGAGUCCGGUAGAGGACGUGUGGAAUUCCCGGUGUAGCGGUGAAAUGCGCAGAUAUCGGGAGGAACACCCGUAGCGAAGGCGGCACUCGUGGGCCGGUACUGACGCUGAGGAGCGAAAGCGUGGGGAGCAAACACGG